AUUGAACGCUGGCGGAAUGCUUUACACAUGCAAGUCGAACGGUAGAGGGGGCAACCCCUCGAGAGUGGCGAACGGGUGAGUAAUAUAUCGGAGCGUGCCCAGUCGUGGAGGAUAACGUAGCGAAAGUUACGCUAAUACCGCAUACGAUCUAAGGAUGAAAGCGGGGGAUCGCAAGACCUCGCGCGAUUGGAGCGGCCGAUAUCAGAUUAGGUAGUUGGUGGGGUAAAGGCUCACCAAGCCAACGAUCUGUAGCUGGUCUGAGAGGACGACCAGCCACACUGGAACUGAGACACGGUCCAGACUCCUACGGGAGGCAGCAGUGGGGGAUUUUGGACAAUGGACGCAAGUCUGAUCCAGCCAUUCCGCGUGCAGGAUGAAGGCCCUCGGGUUGUAAACUGCCUUUGUACGGAACGAAAAGGUCUCUCUUAAUACGGGGGACUCAUGACGGUACCGUAAGAAUAAGCACCGGCUAACUACGUGCCAGCCGCCGCCGUAAGAC
rnacentral:rRNA from 1 species